GUCUGGCUGCUAGUGGGCAUCAGUCCUCCUCACCCGUGGUUUUUUUCCCUCUUAUUGAGGGUUAUUUUCCAUGUUACAUAGUGUUCUUCUCUUUGCUUUGUUUUUUCGGCCCGAAGUGCUGCUGUGUCAUACCGUCGAGCCUUGGGGGCACCAUGAUCUGUCAGGCUCCCUGCCGCUGCUCCCCACUGUCGCGUCCUGCUACAACGACUGCUUGUUCGCUCCUACGCCCCAACGUCCAGUGUCGCUAGUGAUAGCCUUUCCUUUCAGCUGCCGCCUGGGUCGAUAGCUGUUGGUGCUGCUGUCUGAUCUGCGAUUGCCUGCUCUCUCCCGAGACGACGCUCCUUGCUCUCAGACGACAUACGAUGCUCCCUGCUGUGUCGCCUGUUCCAGCAAGUGACCUCCUCUGAUCGACGACAACUUCUUCCACAUCUUCUGCCUACUGCACAGUCUUUUGUCACCUGAUUUUUUGAUGCUCUGUAGCUUCUUUCGUUGCUGACCACUGCUCACCCGUCGCCCAGUGUCACACAGAGUCUGCGAUCUGCCGUCGUCCAGCAUCUGUUGUCGCAUGUAAUGCUUUGUUCUGUCUUCUUUGUGGCUGAGCAUUCUAUUCUACUGCCACUUGAGUCUUUGCCUUCUCUACUGUCGCCAAGGCAUCGCCCAACCUCUUUGUUCAAGUCUGCCUCCCUUGUUGCUGUCGUAGCCUAUGGGCGCCACUUCUGCGCCUGGUCUCUACCUUUGCUAGUAACUCCAUCGUGUACCUUGGUGUUUUUUUCUGCCAUUCUUCGCUGCAGUGCUUACCUUGAUCAUGGACAGAAUCUUCUUCCUCUACUGUCAAUAUUGAAUAGGCUGAUGUUGGGGCUUCUAGAAUUGAAAAUAUUCCAGUUCAAAUUACUACCAUUCGCCUCACCAAGGAAAAUUAUCUUCAAUGGUUUGUUGCGAUCACUAUGGGGAUUGCUGGUCAGGGCCGAAUUGCUUAUAUAAAAGGGAGGAAGAUUGAAUCGGUCGAGACUAAUGUUGCUUGGGACACAUGGUUUCUUGAGGACAACCAAGUUAAGACUUUGAUUGUCAACUCCAUGUUCUUUGAUAUUCAACCUCUCAUUCUUCACAAGAGGACUGCGAAAGAUAUGUGGGUUAUUUUGGAAUAGAUGUAUGGCCAAAAGAAGAAGGAUGUGCGAGUGUAUCAAUUGAUGAAGAAUGUUUAUGCUCUAUAGCAAGGUGAACUCUCUGUGGCAGAUUUUUAUGCAGCCUUGAAAUCUAAGUGGGAGGAACUUGUGUACUACUUAGAUGACACUUAGAAUUGUCCCCAAGACUAUAUGCAGCCUUGAAAUCUAAGUGGGAGGAACUUGUGUACUACUUAGAUGACACUUGGAAUUGUCCCCAAGACUAGGUGCAUCAUUUAGCUAAGGAGUGAAAGAAUAUGGUGUUUUUUUAUUCUUAUCAGGAUUGAAUGAUGACUUUGAAAGUAUAAGAAGUCAAAUCCUGAAUUAUGAAAAACUGCUUAAUAUUGAAGAUGUUUACUCUCGUAUUGAGGCUGAAGCGCAAAGACACCUUGUUAUCACUGAGAGAAAGGGGAAUCACACCUCAUAUAAUGAAGGAUCUGCCCUUGUUAGCUAUGCCCCUGUUGGAGAUGUCCCACCUCCUCGCAAGUGUACUCAUUGCAAGAAGACUGGUCACGCCAUGGAAUUCUGUUGGGACUUGCAUCCUGAAAAGAAGAAUAGUCGACGGUGGUCUUCAAAUGGAAAAAAGCCUACUUCUGAUGCUACUAACUCUAGUGGAGGGAAAACCUUUAUUUCUGCUGAACAGAUUCAUGAACUCUGUGCUUACCUACGUCAGAUGAUGUGAAGGUUAACCAUGCUCUCGCCAUUUAUGGAGAAAAAGGACUUGGUUUGAUGUCUGAAGGCUUGUAUCGAACAUAGAAGAAGCGAGAGGAUUGUCUUUAGUUGUUUUUUUAUUGGCAUGAACGCCUUGGACAUCUUCCUUUUGGUGUUUUGAAACAGUUAUUUCCUUAUUUAUGUUCUAGUUUGGAAUUGUCCAUGAUAUCUUGUGAUGUAUGUCAAUUUGCUAAACAUGUUAUGGCUUCAUACUCUAUUUCCACCAGUCAUGCUAAUGAAUCAGCUAAGCUACUAACUGUUGCUUAAAACCCUGAAGCAGCCAGCAUUACUGAGCUAAAUAGCUCAAAUCUAUAACUUCAAGUUUCAAAAGAGCCUCAUUAGACAAAACUCGCAAUGUGCACUAACGCACAGUUAAGAAAUGAGAAACUGAAUAUUAUUCAAAGAAGAACAACUGAAGAAAACAAUGAGCGGAAGGGGGAGAAUUCUCCUUAACAUAUACACAAGAAGCGGGCCAGCUAUCUGUUGGCUAGCUAACAAUAUAUGUAAGUACAUUAUUGAGAUAUGUAGUUAUGUACUCCAACAGUUAAUGAGAAAUUUAAGGAAUGUAGAAUACAAAUGCAUUCUGCAAUUUGAAACUCUGAAGCCACAUAAAGUAGAUCAAGGUAGAUGGACUGUUCUUCAAAUACUUCUCUAGCAUGAUAAUCCAUCUCUAUAUGUUAAGUCCACUCAUUUAAGGUACAAUUUCAGACUAUAUAAAUAAUGCUCCAUUGUCACAACAUAAUCUGGUGGGUAGUUUCAAGUGUAUUCCUAUAUAUUCCAAUAGUUUCCCGAGCCACGUAAUUUCCAUUGCUGGAGAAGUCAAUGCUCUACAUUUUACGUCUAUAGAAGAUUAAAAAAGAGGAACUUUUUGCUGCUUCUUGCAUUUCCAUGGUAUGAGAGGAUCUCUUAAAAAGAUACAAAACCAGUUGUUAAAUGUCUAUUAUUAGGACCUCCUCAAAUGCUUUUCCUUGACAAAGUGGUGAUCCAUCUGUAUAUGUUCUGUCUGCUCAUUAAAGGUAUGAUUCCAGACUAUAUAAUUCAAGCUCUUAUUUCACAAUAUAAUCUUGCGUGUAGUUUCAGGUGUACUAUAUGUUUCAAAUAGUUGCCUAAGCCAGACAAUUUUCAUUGUUGUAGAAGCCAAUGGUCUAUAUUUUGCAUUUGCAGAAGAAGAAACUUGUUUUUUUUUUUGCUUUUCAUGUCUCCUUAAUAUGAGAGAAUCUUCUAAAGACACAAAAACAAUUUUUGAAUGUCAAAGACUCUAUAUCUCCUCCCAACCAACACCAGUAUAAGCAACUAAUUCUGGUGAUGAUGAAAAAAAAAAAGUUCGCUCCUUCGCGGUUCCUUUGACAUACUUGAUGAUUUGUAUUAUGACAUUCAUGUGACAGAAGUUUCUCUCAUGUGGCUCUCCUGAUUUUAACCACGUAAAGUUCUUCUUCUACAAGCUAAUGACAGGGGCAGCGCUUAUUAGUCCAGAAUUUGUCAACCAAAUAUGGAAAUCACAUGUAAUAGUUACACUUCUCGCAUGAACCAUCAAUGAAUGUGCAAUCCUAGGAUUAGUGAAAUUCAGUUAUUUCACUGUAAUGAUUCAUAUUGUCACAUUUUUUUCAUCAUUAGUAGCAAAAAUUCAUGCAAAUCACUUAAAAUACUCUCCCAUAAACUUCUGAGCAUUCAGUUGUAACAGUUCUACAAUGUUGCCAUCACAGUUGUUCCUCAAUCCUCUUCAUUCUAAUGCUCUGUGUUGGAACUUAUAAAUUUUUUUACAAUGAUUUACAUUUGUAUCAUUUUAUUAGAUUGUAUGUCAUGUUGAGAUAUCGUAUGCUGCUAAUUUGCAUGGGCUCAUAUCUCCACAUUUCUGUUCAAGUUUCUAAUAAUAAUGAAAUUGUAUCUUUUAUGUUCUAUGAUCAUUGAUAACUAUUUGUUUUCCAGGGAGAAGAUAUUGAGGAUAUUGAAAUAUUGAGAGUCAUUUUUGGAAUUUUUCCUACUUACCGGAACAGUUUUCAGGAAGCUAGCAUCAACUCUGCCAUUCAUACACAGUUAGUCAUAUAUUGCAGGUUGGUGAUGCUAGUGGCAUGCAG